rnacentral:rRNA from 1 species
AGUGAACGCUGGCGGUAGGCCUAACACAUGCAAGUCGAACGGCAGCACAGUAAGAGCUUGCUCUUACGGGUGGCGAGUGGCGGACGGGUGAGGAAUACAUCGGACUCUACUUUUUCGUGGGGGAUAACGUAGGGAAACUUACGCUAAUACCGCAUACGCCCUACGGGUGAAAGCAGGGGAUCUUCGGACCUUGCGCGAUUGAAUGAGCCGAUGUCGGAUUAGCUAGUUGGCGGGGUAAAGGCCCACCAAGGCGACGAUCCGUAGCUGGUCUGAGAGGAUGAUAGGCCACACUGGAACUGAGACACGGUCAAGACUCCUACGGGAGGGAGCAGUGGGGAAUAUUGGACAAUGGUCGCAAGCCUGAUCCAGCCAGACCGCGUGGGUGAAGAAGGCCUUCGGGUUGUAAAGCCCUUUUGUUGGGAAAGAAAAGCAGCAGGUUAAUACCCCGCUGUUCUGACGGUACCCAAAGAAUAAGCACCGGCUAACUUCGUG